GAAAGCAGAGUUGAUGCACAUUUUUUUUUGUCUAGGGUGGUAAAAUAAUAGCCUAGCAUAAGCUAUGGAGGGAAAAUAAGUUGUUAUGGUGCUUGCAGUGUCCCUUUAAUAAAACUGAAGCUAAGGACUGGGGAACCUGUUAACAGCAAACAAUGGAUAGCUAUAAAUGCAAUUAGCACAGGAGGGAAGAUAACUAUGCAUUACAUGCCUUGCAUAGUGCACCUUUAACCAGAAGCUGUUGUUUC